rnacentral:lncRNA from 1 species
AUGCUACAAUCUAGGUGCUUGUACAGGUCCAGUCUCAAGCAUAGAAGAUCUGCACAUUGGAGAAGAGAACGACAGCUCAUGGUUUCAACUGAGAGAGACAGAAGCCAAUCUUCUAGCAACAUCCUAAGAAACAUUGUUAUGAACUUCAGAGCAGGAACUCUCUUGACCAGACCAGAAAUUUUGUCUCCAAGGUCAUCCCAGACCCAUAGCUGUUUUCAAGCUAGCCAGCCUACUCAAGAGUCUUUUGGGAGCCCUAGGAAGAUUCUUUGAGUUGAAAUAGGACUUUUACUUCA